rnacentral:lncRNA from 1 species
GCACGUUCACUCACAUAUGCUGCUUCUACUCCGGAAGUACCAUCCACAUAUAUCUAUCCAUUUCCAUCUCCAGAACCACCCAAAAAUAUUCUACUCCUAAUCCGGGAGAGAAUAGCCAAAAACAUUUUUGUUUUCCCCUGUAAAAUAAAUGCUCAAGUUGUCUUGGUUACUGCCACUUGCUAUAUUAUUUCAUGAGAUGAGUGCUCUAAAAAAAAGAUACGAGGAAAUAAAAAGGGGCAAGUGCCCGGAACCUCGAAAGAAAAGAAAAACUGAGACGAGAGGUAAAAAUGGACAAGUGUCCGACAGUAGAAUUAGGGGUACAAGAUACCCACCUGAGAGGAAAGAAAAAGAAAAUAUAGAGCAUCUCAUUCUCCUCACAAAGUUUUAAAAAGCAAGGAAGGUAUGUAUCCCCUCAAAGAGCAAAAGAAUUAGACUUUCACCAUUGUUAUCACCAUCAUCACCAUACACCAUUCAUUCGCCACACAUGCACAUCUUGAUUUGACUUAUUGAUUUGUUUCUUUGGAUCAAUGGUUUGACUAUGCAAUAAAUGUCUUGUAAGUAUGUAUACUUUAUCUCCCACCUAUGAGCUCC